AGAAAUUUGGAAUAAUACCCCAUACGAUCUUUACUUGGCAUCGAGUAAAGAAGAAAACUUCGGUGGUAGAAGAUGGGCAUGCGUCCUAUUAGUUAGUUGGUGAGGUAACGGCUCACCAAGACUCCGAUAGGUAGGGGCCCUGAGAGGGGGAUCCCCCACACUGGUACUGAGACACGGACCAGACUCCUACGGGAGGCAGCAGUGAGGAAUAUUGGACAAUGGGGGCAACCCUGAUCCAGCCAUGCCGCGUGCAGGAAGACUGCCCUAUGGGUUGUAAACUGCUUUUAUACAGGAAGAAACUGCGCUACGUGUAGCGUACUGACGGUACUGU
rnacentral:rRNA from 1 species